AAGUCGUAACAAGGUUUCCGUAGGUGAACCUGCGGAAGGAUCAUUAACACGUAUCCAAACGUUAAACCCCCCUGUGAACCUUCAGUGUACUCGUACGUCCGUUAGAAAAAGCAGCAAUCCCUGGUAAAUCAUCGCCGAACAGUUUUCGAUUCAGGGACGUCUGCAAGGAGCGUGCAUGUUGUGCGAAGCAAGUGGCCUGGCAUCCGUGUCAUUAACUGUGUAAGGAUGACGCAGUCACGAUCGUUGGAGGCCCACACGGCCGACGACCGGGCCUCUGGGCGCAAGCCCCCCUAUAACAAACGCUGCUAAUCGCGGCCGCGAUAAUACGCAGUCGACCAAAAACGGAACAACUGUUAACAAUGGAUAUCUUGGUUCUC
rnacentral:misc_RNA from 1 species